rnacentral:snoRNA from 1 species
ACGCAGGUACUGUUAAAGUAUAACUGAAGUGUUUAUUGUCCUUUCCCCUGCUUAAAGCAACUGAUGUAUAACUAUAACUGUCUCUAGCUCAGUCACAUAGUAAGAUUGGAGAUGCUUGGUCUCAAACAU